GGAUCAAUGAUGACUCCCACAAAAACAUUCCUUGGAAAGCUGAACAAAAUGACUGAGAGCUCAGCACCGUUGAUCUCAUCGUGACUGAGGUCC
rnacentral:snoRNA from 1 species